UACGAAGGGUGCAAGCGUUACUCGGAAUUACUGGGCGUAAAGCGUGCGCAGGCGGUUUGCUAAGACCGAUGUGAAAUCCCCGGGCUUAACCUGGGAACUGCAUUGGUGACUGGCAGGCUAGAGUAUGGCAGAGGGGGGUAGAAUUCCACGUGUAGCAGUGAAAUGCGUAGAGAUGUGGAGGAAUACCGAUGGCGAAGGCAGCCCCCUGGGCCAAUACUGACGCUCAUGCACGAAAGCCUGGGGAGCAAACAGG
rnacentral:rRNA from 1 species